rnacentral:tRNA from 1 species
GCUACGGACUUAAAAUCCGUCGACUUUAUAAGUCGUGAGGGUUCAAGUCCUCUAUCCCCA